GGAUGAAGGAAGCAUGGUAGUGUGCACAGAGAUUGAAUUUAUGGGUCCUCAUGUCUGCCCCUGCUGAUGCCUUUUCGGCUUUGAUUCGGGGGCCUGGUUUCCGACCCACAUUC